rnacentral:lncRNA from 1 species
GUCCAUCUGGGCUGGGAAUGGGAUUGGGGGCCUAUGACCUCUGAGUCCUCAAUCAAGGAGUGGAACUUGAUCUCCCCCCCCCAAAAAAAGCAAAAAAUAGCUGGUUCAUCACUGCAACUAGCUAAUCACCAUCAGGACCUCUGGUCUUUCCUUCUUUUUCUAACUGCCCUCUCCCUGCAGGAAAAAAGCCAAUCUUCUCAAGAAUCUCCACAGAAACUCUGGCCACAUUCAGACACCAGUUCCUGAGAGAUCUGUGCAGGAGGGCCCAGCUUAUCAGCACUGUCUUUAGAUCCUCAGCUCUGAGAUCUCGGCUGCCUGUCUACUCCCAAGGCCACCUUCCAUUGGACAACAUUUGGUAGCAGAAAGAACUGAAGCAGCACUUGGCAUCCCAGGCCGUGUGGGACAGGGUUCAUAGACAGCGAAAUGUGGUCUGUUACCGUCAGAGCCCUCUGAAAGGUAUCAACCGGUCACUCCAAACACCUCCCAAUAAGAAAUAUAAGAAGCACUCUGAAGAAAUCAUUGUUACUAGACAUACCUAGACAACCAUUUCAGCCAAAAUAAUUGAGAAAGACCCACAAAGAGAAGAUGGAUGAAGAGCAACACCAAAAGAGUUCAAAAUCACCUGAAAAGAAGCUAAAGACAGUUGAAUUCAAGAAAAAGAAAUGUGUUAGGUUUCUGUUACCCCAUAAAGCUGACAAGGAAAAGAAAUCCUCUUCCCUAGGAGAAACAGAGGAGUCAAAGUUCAGAUGUGAAUGCCAACACUGCCAGAUGUGUGAGGGGAACACAUCUGGGGUCUCUGUGGGACCUAGGACUGAAGCAGUCUCUCCGUCAUCCUCCUGGGAAAAUCUAACACUAGACCUCAGUAACUUGACACUCAACCCUCAUACCACCCAUCCCCAUCUUGUGCAAGACACCAUAUCCAAAGGAGAGAACAAAAUGCAGUGCCCAAGGAAAAACAAGAGGAUGUUUCAAAAGGUUCUCUACGAAUGGACAGAAUAACUCUGACACUGUCAUCGUCAUGAGAAGGAAGAUCCAAACCUACAGGACCAUGAGUAUCAACAUCUUUUGGGGAGCAACAUCAGGAGGAGUAAUGUCCAACCUGUUGAUAAUAAUACAGCUGGAUCGUGACUCGAAUCUAUUCCACAAAUGUAGCCAUCUUUUCCUUAGUAGUUUAGGCAUCUUCCCUUAGGCACUCUGGGAAGAGAUGUGGUUCUCAGUAAGGACGACCAAAUUGCAAUUUUUCUAUACUCCCCAUGUCAGUGUUCCCAUGGGAUUUGCUACCGAUUUUCCUCUCCUCGGGUUUGAGGUUUUCCUCCUUUACAUUGUUGCCAAU